UCCUUCGUAACUCGUCAUCAGUCUUCACUCUACUGGUUAGAGCGUCCGCCUUGGAUGCGGGAGGUCGCGGGUUCGAUCCCCGGUCGAGUCAU